rnacentral:rRNA from 1 species
GACGAACGCUGGCGGCGUGCUUAACACAUGCAAGUCGAGCGGUAAGGCCCUUUCGGGGGUACGACGAGCGGCGAACGGGUGAGUAACACGUGGGUGACCUGCCUUUAGUCUCUGGGAUAAGCCUGGGAAACUGGGUCUAAUACCGGAUAUGACCCUAUGGCGCAUGUUGUGGGGUGGAAAGCCUUGUGCGGCUAGGGAUGGGCCCGCGGCCUAUCAGCUUGUUGGUGGGGUGAUGGCCUACCAAGGCGACGACGGGUAGCCGGCCUGAGAGGGCGACCGGCCACACUGGGACUGAGACACGGCCCAGACUCCUACGGGAGGCAGCAGUGGGGAAGUCUUGCGCAAUGGGCGAAAGACCUGACGCAGCGACGCCGCGUGAGGGAUGACGGCCUCGGUUGUAA